GACGAACGCUGGCGGCGUGCUUAACACAUGCAAGUCGAACGGAAAGGCCUGCUUUCCCUUGUGGAUUGCGGGUACUCGAGUGGCGAACGGGUGAGUAACACGUGAGUGAUCUGCCCCCAACUUGGGUAUAAGCCUGGGAAACUGGGUCUAAUUCCCGAUAGGACUGCAGGGUGGUGCCUGUGGUGGAAAACGAUUUUCUAGUGGUUGGGGAUGAGCUCGCGGCUUAUCAGCUUGUUGGUGGGGUAAUGGCCUACCAAGGCGGCGACGGGUAGCCGGCCUGGGAGGGUGGACGGGCACAUUGGGACUGAGAUACGGCCCAGACGCCUACGGGAGGCAGCAGUGGGGAAUAUUGCACAAUGGGCGGAAGCCUGAUGCAGCGACGCCGCGUGGGGGAUGACGGCCUUCGGGUUGUAAACUCCUUUCGACCGCGAGGAAGCCACCUGGUUGGAAGGGUGGUGACGGUAGUGGUAGAAGAAGCACCGGCUAACUACGUG
rnacentral:rRNA from 1 species